AACUUUUAGCGGUGGAUCACUCGGCUCGUGCGUCGAUGAAGAACGCAGCUAACUGCGAGAACUAAUGUGAAUUGCAGGACACAUUGAUCGCCGACACUUCGAACCCACUUUGCAGCCCCAGGUUCCUCCUGGGGCUACGUCUGUCUGAGGGUCA
ensembl:rRNA 5_8S_rRNA 5.8S ribosomal RNA